CGAGCUCCGAUCUUGAAACAUUACACAAGGAUUCACAAACAUGACAGAGUCUAAAGUGAUAAAGUAAUUGUCAGCACUACCUGACCAUGGCUCUGAAAAACAACACAGCAAGUAUGUGUGUUUGUGUGUGUGUGUGUGUGUGUGUGUUUGUGUGUGUGUGUGUGUGUGUAGUUUUGAGUUAGGAGUGUCAAACUGAUGUGUGUGUGUGUUUGUGUGUGUGUGUGUGUGUGUAGUUUUGAGUUAGGAGUGUCAAACUGAUGUGUGUGUGUGUGUGUGUGUGUGUGUGUGUGUGUUUUUGAGUUAGGAGUGUCAAACUGAUGUGUGUGUGUGUGUUUUUGAGUUAGGAGUGUCAAACUGAUGUGUGUGUGUGGUUUUGAGUUAGGAGUGUCAAACUGAUGUGUGUGUGUGUGUGUGUGUGUGUAGUUUUGAGUUAGGAGUGUCAAACUGAUGUGUGUGUGUGUGUGUGUGUGGUUUUGAGUUAGGAGUGUCAAACUGAUGUGUGUGUGUGUGUGUGUGUGUGUGUGUGUGUGUGUGUGUGUGUGUGUGUGUGUGGAUGCACGCGCGUGUGUGUGUGUGUGUGUGUGUGUGUGUG
ensembl:lncRNA